rnacentral:tRNA from 1 species
GGCUUUAUAGUCAUGUAAUGAUGUUAGACUGCAAUUCUAGAGGAGUAAAUAAAAUUACUAAGGCUU